GCGGACUCAUCAUUCCAGCCAAUCAUCAGCAGACCCUCCCUCCCAGACCCUCCCACCUCCUGGAAAGCUCACUAAGAAUGCAGCUUCAAAAUGGAUGCUGUCCAGGAGGUGGGAGGGUCUGGGAGGGAGGGUCUGCUGCUGAUUGGCUGGAAUGAUGAGUCCA
rnacentral:miRNA from 1 species